rnacentral:rRNA from 1 species
AGGACGAACGCUGGCGGCGUGCUUAACACAUGCAAGUCGAACGAUGAAGCCAGCUUGCUGGUGGAUUAGUGGCGAACGGGUGAGUAACACGUGGGUGAUCUGCCCCAAACUUUGGGAUAAGCCUGGGAAACUGGGUCUAAUACCGAAUAUGACCACGGAAUGCAUGUUUUGUGGUAGGAAAGCUCCGGCGGUUUGGGAUCGGGCCCGCGGCCUAUCAGCUUGUUGGUGGGUAAUCGGCCCACCGAAGGCGACG